rnacentral:lncRNA from 1 species
UCUUAUAUGUAUAAUAUGCACAAUAAGAUUCCUCAUGUGUCAAAAGAAAAACAUUUCAUUCAAGAAAUCCAUUUUUGUUAAAUUAUACCUUGUAAUAUGCAGGCCAUAUUGCUUUAUUUUUUUACUGUUUAUUGGACAUCAGGUCUCUCAGACAUAAACUUCUACUCAGGAGUGCAAAAUUUGUGCUUGAAAAAAAUAAUUCCAAUAUUUAGUUUUGUUGAUUUCUGAAUCUGAGUAUGAUAAUCGUACCUAAGAUGUUUAUGGCUGUAAGGCCAGAUGUUUUGAUUCUAUAUUAGUGAUUUAUAUGCUACAACUGAUUAUGUUUUUAGUUGAGAUCUGUUUAAAUGAGUAGACCUUUGAUUAUUUAUUAUAUUUUUGUUGUUUCUGUGCUUCGUGAGUUUGAAAUAUACUCAAGUUUCUGGGCUUUUAGCAUUAUUGUUUGCUGAUUUUGAUAAAACUCAUUGUUUGUAGAUUUAAUAGCUUACUACGUUUGCCUUUUCCUUAAAUAAUUUUUGAACCAUUUAAUAGUUUUGAUUAUAAAAUCAAAUAUAUUGUUGAAUCAAUUUAA